rnacentral:rRNA from 1 species
UACGUAGGAGGCAAGCGUUGUCCGGAAUUACUGGGCGUAAAGCGCGUGUAGGUGGUGGGACAAGUCUGCUGUGAAAGCGCCUGGCUUAACCGGGCGAGGUCGGCGGAAACUGUCCGACUCGAGGACGGUAGAGGGGGUGGAAUUCCCGGUGUAGUGGUGAAAUGCGUAGAGAUCGGGAGGAACACCUGUGGCGAAGGCGGCCCCCUGGGCCGGCCCUGACACUGAGACGCGAAGGCGUGGGGAGCGAACGGGG